rnacentral:lncRNA from 1 species
GUGGUGAGAGCAGAGAGGGGUUGUAGUUGGUAGUAGUGGAGGUGGUGAGAGAAGAGAUGGGUGGUAGUUGGUAGUAGUGGAGGUGGUGAGAGAAGAGAUGGGUGGUAGUAGUGGAGGUGGGGAGAGAAGAGAGGGGUGGUAGUAGGUAGUAGUGGAGGUGGUGAGAGAAGAGCGGGGUGGUAGUAGGUAGUAGUGGAGGUGGUGAGAGAAGAGAUGGGUGGUAGUAGGUAGCAGUGGAGGUGGUGAGAGAAGAGAGGCGUGGUAGUUGGUAGUAGUGGAGGUGGUGAGAAAAGAGAGGGGUGGUAGUAGUGGAGGUGGUGAGAGAAGAGAGGGGUGGUAGUAGGUAGUAGUGGAGGUGGUGAGAGAAGAGAUGGGUGGUAGUAGGUAGCAGUGGAGGUGGUGAGAGAAGAGAGGGGUGGUAGUUGGUAGCAGUGGAGGUGGUGAGAGAAGAGAGGGGUGGUAGUAGGUAGCAGUGGAGGUGGUGAGAGAAGAGAGGGGUGGUAGUAGGUAGUAGUGGAGGUGGUGAGAGAAGAGAUGGGUGGUAGUAGGUAGUAGUGGAGGUGGUGAGAGAAGAGAGGGGUGGUAGUAGGUAGUAGUGGAGGUGGUGAGAGCAGAGAGGGGUGGUAGUUGGUAGUAUUGGAGGUGGUGAGAGAAGAGAUGGGUGGUAAUAGGUAGUAGUGGAGGUGGUGAGAGAAGAGAUGGGUGGUAGUAGUGGAGGUGGGG